rnacentral:rRNA from 1 species
CAAUAGCGUAUAUUAAAGUUGUUGCGGUUAAAAAGCUCGUAGUUGGAUUUCUGCCGAGGACGACCGGUCCGCCCUGUGGGUGAGCAUCUGGAUCGGCCUGGGCAUCUUCUUGGGGAACGUAGCUGCACUUGACUGUGUGGUGCGGUAUCCAGGACUUUUACCUUGAGGAAAUUAGAGUGUUUCAAGCAGGCGCACGCCUUGAAUACAUUAGCAUGGAAUAAUAAGAUAGGACCUCGGUUCUAUUUUGUUGGUUUCGAACACCGAAGUAAUGAUUAACAGGGACAGUCAGGGGCACUCGUAUUCCGCCGAGAGAGGUGAAAUUCUCAGACCAGCGGAAGACGAACCACUGCGAAAGCAUUUGCCAGGGAUGUUUUCACUGAUCAAGAACGAAAGUUAGGGGAUCGAAGACGAUUAGAUACCAU